AGAGUUUGAUCAUGGCUCAGGAUGAACGCUAGCGGCAGGCCUAAUACAUGCAAGUCGAACGGUAAAUAUUCAGCAAUGGAUAUGAGAGUGACGUACGGGUGCGUAACACGUAUGCAACCUACCCUUUACAGGAGGAUAGCUCGGGGAAACUCGGAUUAACCCUCCAUGAGAUCAUAGAGUGGCAUCACUUAGUGAUUAAAAUUACGGUGGUAAAGGAUGGGCAUGCGUCUGAUUAGUUAGUUGGCGGGGUAAUGGCCCACCAAGACGAUGAUCAGUAGGGGAACUGAGAGGUUGAUCCCCCACACUGGCACUGAGAUACGGGCCAGACUCCUACGGGAGGCAGCAGUAGGGAAUAUUGGUCAAUGGAUGGAAGUCUGAACCAGCCAUGCCGCGUGCAGGAAGAAGGCCUUCUGGGUUGUAAACUGCUUUUGCCAGGGGCUAAAAAGCCCAUGCGUGGGAAAUUGAAAGUACCUGGUGAAUAAGCCACGGCUAACUACGUGCCAGCAGCCGCGGUAAUACGUAGGUGGCAAGCGUUGUCCGGAUUUAUUGGGUUUAAAGGGUGCGUAGGCGGCUUUGUAAGUCAGUGGUGAAAUAUGGCAGCUUAACUGUCAAGGUGCCAUUGAUACUGCAGAGCUUGAGUACAGAUGAGGUAGGCGGAAUUGACGGUGUAGCGGUGAAAUGCUUAGAUAUCGUCAAGAACACCUAUAGCGAAGGCAGCUUACUAAGCUGUAACUGACGCUGAGGCACGAAAGUGUGGGGAUCAAACAGGAUUAGAUACCCUAGUAGUCC
rnacentral:rRNA from 1 species